GUCGAACGAGAAAGUGGUAGCAAUACCAUGAGUAAAGUGGCGCACGGGUGAGUAACACGUGACUAACCUACCCUGGAGUGGGGGAUAACUGAGGGAAACCUUAGCUAAUACCGCAUAAUACCCACGGGUCAAAGGAGCAAUUCGCUCCAGGAGGGGGUCGCGGCCGAUUAGUUAGUUGGCGGGGUAACGGCCCACCAAGACGAUGAUCGGUAUCCGGCCUGAGAGGGCGCACGGACACACUGGAACUGAAACACGGUCCAGACUCCUACGGGAGGCAGCAGUGGGGAAUUUUGCGCAAUGGGGGAAACCCUGACGCAGCAACGCCGCGUGGAGGAUGAAGUCCUUCGGGACGUAAACUCCUUUCGAUCGGGACGAUAAUGACGGUACCGGAAGAAGAAGCCCCGGCUAACUUCGUGCCAGCAGCCGCGGUAAUACGAGGGGGGCGAGCGUUGUUCGGAAUUAUUGGGCGUAAAGGGUGCGUAGGCGGUUUGGUAAGUCUUAUGUGAAAUCUAUGGGCUCAACUCAUAGACUGCAUGAGAAACUGCCGGGCUCGAGUAUGGGAGAGGUGAGUGGAAUUUCCGGUGUAGCGGUGAAAUGCGUAGAUAUCGGAAGGAACACCUGUGGCGAAAGCGGCUCACUGGACCAUAACUGACGCUGAUGCACGAAAGCUAGGGGAGCAAACAGGAUUAGAUACCCUGGUAGUCCUAGCCCUAAACCAUGACUGCUUGGUGUGACGGGUACCCAAUCCCG
rnacentral:rRNA from 1 species